UUGUUGCGAAAACACUCAUCCUGUAGGGAGCAGCAGAUUUCUUAUAUAAAGCACAGAAUCUGCUCAAUAAAUCACUAGUCUUCUACAGGACACAAAGUAAACAUGAACAAGUCAGCUCUUCUCCUUUUGCUCGUCGUCGGACUCCUCGUUCUCACUGACACCACUGUUGCCUUUGUCGGUCGCCGUCGCAGUUGGUAUUGGAACCAAAAGCUAGCUAAUGCUGAAGACACCAAUGAGAUGGACAUUCAUCCCUAUUAUGAAGUUAUGCAAGAACUCAACGGAGCAGAACAAUGAUUGUUCUCCAUCCAAUGUAUCAAUAAUGAACAGUUAAUAUAAAUAAAAUUAAGGGCAAUUACUUUG